CCUACGGGUGGCAGCAGUGGGGGAUAUUGGACAAUGGGCGCAAGCCUGACGCAGCAACGCCGCGUGAAGGAAGAAGUCUUUCGGUUUGUAAACUUCUAUCGUCAGGGAAGAGUAUAAGACUGUAUCUGACGAAUAAGCCACGUCUAACUACGUGCCAGCAGGCGCGGUAAUCCGUAGGUGGCAAGCGUUGUCCGGAUUUACUGGGUGUAAAGGGCGUGUAGACGGGUUGACAAGUCAGAUGUGAAAUCCGGGGGCUCAACCGCAGAACUGCAUUUGAAACUGUUGAUCUUGAGUACUGGAGGGGCAGACGGAAUUCCUAGUGUAGCGGUGAAAUGCGUAGAUAUUAGGAGGAACACCAGCGGCGAAGGCGGUCUGCUAGACAGAAACUGACGGUGAGGCGCGAAAGCGUGGGGAGCAAACAGGAUUAGAUACCCCUGUAGUC
rnacentral:rRNA from 1 species